AGAAUGAACGCUGGCGGCGUGCUUUACACAUGCAAGUCGAGCGAGGCGUGUAGCAAUACACAGUCGAGCGGCGAACGGGUGAGUAACGCGUGGAUUAUCUGCCCUGAGGUGGGGGAUAACCCGGGGAAACUCGGGCUAAUACCGCAUAUGACCGGAAGGUCAAAGGGGGGUCGCAAGAUCUCUCGCCUUUGUGAGGAGUCCGCGUUCGAUUAGCUAGUUGGUAGGGUAAUGGCCUACCAAGGCGACGAUCGAUAGCCGGCCUGAGAGGGUGAUCGGCCACACUGGAACUGAGACACGGUCCAGACUCCUACGGGAGGCAGCAGUGGGAAUUUGCGCAAUGGGCUAACGCCUGACGCAGCAACGCCGCGUGGAGGAUGAAGGUCCUUGGAUUGUAAACUCCUGUCAGCAAGGAAAAGCAACUUGACCUCAUACGUCGAGGAGUUAGAUUGUACCUGCAGAGGAACG
rnacentral:rRNA from 1 species